UUAUACUUUGCAGAUGAAGGAU
rnacentral:misc_RNA from 1 species